UACGAAGGGUGCAAACGUUGCUCGGAAUUAUUGGGCGUAAAGCGCACGUAGGCGGCUUGGCAAGUCGGAUGUGAAAUCCCUCGGCUCAACCAAGGAAGUGCAUCCGAAACUGCUGAGCUUGAGUACGAAAGAGGAUCGCGGAAUUCCCGGUGUAGAGGUGAAAUUCGUAGAUAUCGGGAGGGACACCAGUGGCGAAGGCGGCGAUCUGGGUCGAUACUGACGCUGAGGUGCGAAAGCGUGGGGAGCAAACAGG
rnacentral:rRNA from 1 species